rnacentral:rRNA from 1 species
GAUGAACGCUAGCUACAGGCUUAACACAUGCAAGUCGAGGGGAAACGGCAUUAAGUGCUUGCACUUUUUGGACGUCGACCGGCGCACGGGUGAGUAACGCGUAUCCAACCUUCCCAUGACUAAGGGAUAACCUGCCGAAAGGCAGACUAAUACCUUAUGGUCUUCACUGACGGCAUCAGAUGUGAAGUAAAGAUUUAUCGGUUAUGGAUGGGGAUGCGUCUGAUUAGCUUGUUGGCGGGGUAACGGCCCACCAAGGCAACGAUCAGUAGGGGUUCUGAGAGGAAGGUCCCCCACAUUGGAACUGAGACACGGUCCAAACUCCUACGGGAGGCAGCAGUGAGGAAUAUUGGGCAAUGGGCGAGAGCCUGAACCAGCCAAGUAGCGUGCAGGAGGACGGCCCUAUGGGUUGUAAACUGCUUUUGUAUGGGGAUAAAGUCAAUCACGUGUGAUUGUUUGCAGGUACCAUACGAAUAAGGACCGGCUAAUUCCGUG